rnacentral:lncRNA from 1 species
AACAGAACACCUGAGCAUAAUUUAAACCUUGCUUUAUUGUCAAGGUGAUCACUACAAUCCUCAACGUUUGGCCAUUGCUGAGAGAUUAAUCGGGAGUGAGGUCUGCCUAAACCUGAGAUGAGAAGAAUUUGUCUCCUGAGAAUAAUGAUGGAUAUCCCUCAAGAAUUGAAGAUGGGCCAGGGUACACAGAAUGAUUACAUUUGUUCCUUGCUGUUAGGAGGAACAAGCAGAAGUUCCAUAUGCCACCUUCUUCUGCUACUGCAGCAACAAGUGAUAUUCGAGACAGUGAAGCCCCCAUCAAUUCUAGACUGAUAUGGAGCAGAGACGACCUCCUAUACACACUCCCACUACUGACCCAUGGUGGACAAGAAACCAGAAAUUUCAUUAUGUUAAGCUUCUGAGAUAUUUCUGUUUUUUCCACUGAACAUUAUUCUAAUUUAUGUGAUAUAUUUGAUUUUAGAGCUAACUUGUUCUAAAGCUUACAGUCUUUUGCUGGGCAGGGUAGCAGUUCCAGCCACUUAGUAGGCUGAAACAGGAGGAUGGCUUAAGCUCAGGAGUUUGAGACCAGCCUGGGCUAAAUAAUGAGACCCCAUCUCUUAAAAAUAUAUACAAAAUAUAUAAACAAAAAUAAAGCUUACAAUUUUUUUCAACAACAACCUUGUGUAUAGUUCAAACGGAUUUUGUACCCCAUACCUUAGUAACCUACUCAAUGUCAUAUAAGCCUUUCUACCUUUCAGAGUAUCUUCUUGUCAUUCCUUCUUAAAAUGCUCCUCCCAAAUCCUAUUCUGUCUUUUUUUACUACUUUUGAUCUGAACUGUCCAAUAUGUGACUUUGUCCAUAUGUGUCCACAUGCAACUAUUGAGCCCUUGAAAUAUGGCUAGUUCAAAACUGAGAUACACUGUAAGUAUAAUACUGCAUACUGGAUUUUGAACAAUUAGGACAAAAAGAAUAUUAAAUAUAUUCUUAAAAUUAAUUACAUGUUAAAAUGGUAUGUUGGAUAUAUUUGGUUAAAUGAAACUUUAUUAAAAUGAAUUAGCCCUGUUUCUUAUUUUUUUUUUUGUUUUUUGUUUUUAAUUGUGUCUGCUCAAAAAACUAAAAUUACACAAGUGGUUCACAUUUGUAUCUUGAGUAAUAUUUCCAUGGAGAGCACAAAAAUAGAUCCUGAUGAAAGAAUAUAUCCAUCUUAAAACUUUUCUUGAAGAUCUAAAUCAGCUACAGUGACUUUCUUUCUUUUGUAGGGAAGGGAAAAAUAUCUUUUCCUAACCCAUCUGCCUAUCCGAGGUUCUUAGCUGAGACACCUAUAACCAAAGGUAGAUAAACAUACAAAUUUCUUUAAAUAAGUUUUAUGAACACAGAACCCCUCACAAGAAAAUGGAGACCAGAAAAAACAGUUAAACUUGUGUAUGCUUAUGCCUGGAUUGAUGAAGAGUAGACAGUCAUGGAGAAAUAUGAUUGGACAAAAGUUAUGGAAAUAAACUGGGGAAACAGCAAGGCCUGUUUGUUCAGAUUUUUCUGUGUGGCUCUUUGUCUUGAGAUGAGAAUGUGCCUUUCUUCUGGGUAUAAGGAGGGUACCUCUUACAUAAGGUCUUAUAACCAGCUUGAGGGGAGAAGGGCAAGGGGAAGGUGAGAGUGACCUCCUAGCUUCUGCUAUUUUUCCAAAUGCCAAGCUGCCAUAUUUCAGUGUAGCAUGACCUGAACCCCAUCACUCCACAUCACCUUACUCUAUAAAUUCAUUUUGCUAUUUUUUCUAUUUAUAUUAGUCCAUUUUCAUACGCUAUGAAGAAAUACCUGAGACUGGGCAAUUUAUAAAGAAAAAGAGGCUUAAUAGACUCACAGUUCCACAUGGCUAGGGAGGUCUCACAAUCAUGGUGGAAGGUGAAAGAGGAGAAAAGCCACGUUUUACGUGGCAGCGGGCAAAAGAGUGUGUACAGGGGAACUCUCCUUUAUAAAACCAUCAGAUCUCAUUAGACGUAUUCACUAUUCACUAGCACCAGGGGAAAAACCCAUCCCCAUGCUUCAAUUACCUCCCACUGGGUCCCUCCCAUGACAUGUGGAGAUUGUGGGAGCUACAAUUCAAGAUAAGAUUUGGGGGGUAACACAGCCAAACCAGGUUACUAUUGUAUAUCAUUAUAUUAAUGAUGCUUAUCUGAAACAAUUGUCCUGUCUUAAUAGGUACAAAGCUUUUAAAAUUACAGAAUAUUUGUUAUUUCUCUGAGACCUCCCUACAGUACUUUGCAGUCUACUUUGUACAGAUUACACAUUCUAUGAACUGUUUUAACUGAUUUUGGACAGUGAGGUUUCUGAGGAAGACAUUGAUGGCAGGCUGCUUUGAUUUGUGAUUGUUGUAUCUAUUCUGGGCUCUCACCAAAUGCUCACUGGAGUAGACAUUUCAGAGUAUAAAAAAAAGUUAAAAAUUCAAAAACACAAAAGGCACUCAAAUAAACCAGGAUUUGAAAAUCACCAAUUUCAAUUUUUCUAAACUCUUAAUGAGAACCUCACCUGGUCUAUAAUUGAAGAUCAACCAAAGGUCAUGCAGAAAAACAAAAUAGAAUGUAACAAGUAAGCUCUUCUACUAUUUCAUGCUUAGGUACAUUGACAGCGGGCCUCAUAGAAAUGGGGCUAAUCUAAAAAUAAAUAUCCAUAUUUUGGUUUGAAGAAAUAAUUAUCCUAUGCAAGUUCUUAGACCCAUCUCUAGGAAUACUGAAAGACAGAUAUUUUUCUCACACAAGUAAAUAUUCUACCAUGUUUCAAAAAAAAGUGAAAGACAAUAAAAAUGGUAUUGGAAAGAGUGUGCUAAAGAUGACCAUCUGUUCUCCAGGAGGUGAAAGAAAAGGAGCUUAAAAUUACACUAAGGGACAUAGUAUGUUUACAAAGUAUACUAAUACUACAGAGACUGCUGGAGAAGGCAUUAAAGAAGUGUGCAGGGAAGCAGCAAUCAACUGUGCCCUAAAGCAGACAGGAGAAGCCAAGUGUAUGGCAAGGAUUGGGUCAAAGACCCUUCUGGGAAGUCAGCACACCCCUGCCUGAUUCAGGAUUUGCUGGGAGAGGCAGUUCAAAAAUCUAAGACUUUACUGGAUUGUCAUUGUCCACACACAAUCUGCUUAGUGAAACUUUCUAA